GUGAUCGGUUAACUCGCACAGUUUUGCUCGAGUAGUGCGUGGGCUUGUUAAUUUUCGUUUAUAAUAAUUUUAUUUUAUUUAUUUUCAUAAAAUAUGUUCGAUAAUAUAUUGUUAAACCCAAUUACACCCUUAGGGAAUAUGAAUGAGCUCACCAGUUGGGAAAAUCGGCCUUUCCACACAACAUGGCCCGAGAAGAAACAUCUUUCGGAUAAAGAUUCCUUGGUUACCAAGAUAGUACGAAAGAAAAACAAACGCAUGCGCACAGCCUACACGACUGAUCAAUUACUUGUA